rnacentral:rRNA from 1 species
GAUGAACGCUGGCGGCGUGCCUAAUACAUGCAAGUCGAGCGAAUGGAUUAAGAGCUUGCUCUUAUGAAGUUAGCGGCGGACGGGUGAGUAACACGUGGGUAACCUGCCCAUAAGACUGGGAUAACUCCGGGAAACCGGGGCUAAUACCGGAUAACAUUUUGAACCGCAUGGUUCGAAAAUGAAAGGCGGCUUCGGCUGUCACUUAUGGAUGGACACGCGUCGCAUUAGCUAGUUGGUGAGGUAACGGCUCACCAAGGCAACGAUGCGUAGCCGAACUGAGAGGGUGAUCGGCCAAACUGGGACUGGGACACGGCCCAGACUCCUACGGGAGGCAGCAGUAGGGAAUCUUCCGCAAUGGACGAAAGUCUGACGGAGCAACGCCGCGUGAGUGAUGAAGGCUUUCGGGUCGUAAAACUCUGUUGUUAGGGAAGAACAAGUGCUAGUUGAAUAAGCUGGCACCUUGACGGUACCUAACCAGAAAGCCACGGCUAACUACGUGCCAGCAGCCGCCGUAA